GGUUGUGGCUCAGUGGUAAAGUACUCACCUAGCAUGUGUGGGACCCUGGGUUCAAUCCUCACCACCA
rnacentral:tRNA from 1 species